rnacentral:lncRNA from 1 species
GUAGGAUGAGAUCUAUCAUGUAAUCGAGUUAGUUUUGACGGGGAUUGAUCUCUAGUAUCCACUAUGUUGUGAGAUUGAUGUUGCUACUACUUUGCCAUGCUUAAUGCUUGUCACUAGGGCCCGAGUGCCAUGAUUUUAUAUCUGAAAUUAUUAUGUUGUCACCAAUAUAUGUGUGUUUUAGAUCCGAUCUUGCAAGUUGUAGUUACCUACUAUGUGUUAUGACCC